AGUGGCGGACGGGUGAGUAACGCGUGGGCAACCUGCCCUUAACCGGGGGACAACAGUUGGAAACGGCUGCUAAUACCGCAUAAGCGCACGGAACCGCAUGGGUUCAGUGUGAAAAAUUCCGGUGGUUAAGGAUGGGGCCCGCGUUGGAUUAGGUAGUUGGUGCGGUAACGGCGCACCAAGCCGACGAUCCAUAGCCGACCUGAGAGGGUGACCGGCCACAUUGGGACUGAGACACGGCCCAGACUCCUGCGGGAGGCAGCAGUGGGGAAUAUUGCACAAUGGGGGAAACCCUGAUGCAGCGACGCCGCGUGAGUGAAGAAGUAUUUCGGUAUGUAAAGCUCUUUCGGCAGGGAAGAAGAUGACGGUACCUGCAGAAGAACGCCCCGGCUAACUACGUGCCAGCCGCCGC
rnacentral:rRNA from 1 species